UACGGGGGGGGUAAGCGUUGUUCGGAAUUACUGGGCGUAAAGGGCUCGUAGGCGGCCAACUAAGUCAGACGUGAAAUCCCUCAGCUUAACUGGGGAACUGCGUCUGAUACUGGAUGGCUUGGAUCCGGGAGAGGGAUGCGGAAUUCCAGGUGUAGCGGUGAAAUGCGUAGAUAUCAGGAGGAACACCAAUUGCGAAGGCAGCUCGCUGGGACGUAACUGACGCUGAGACGCGAAAGCGUGGGGAGCAAACAGG
rnacentral:rRNA from 1 species